GCGGAGUUAGUCCAGCCCGGUAGGACGUCAGCUUCCCAAGCUGAAGGUCGCGUGUUCAAAUCCCGCACUCCGCA
rnacentral:tRNA from 1 species